rnacentral:rRNA from 1 species
AGUACCGCCGAUAAGCGUUUGAGAGAUGGAGUGACACAGUAGGAUAAGCUAACCGUACUGUUGGUUAUGUACGGCUAAGCAUUGAGGCAGUCUAAAUAGGCAAAUCCGUUUAGACAAUGCUAGGAUGUGAUGGGGAAGCCCUUCGGGGCGAAGUAGCUGAUUUCACACUGUCAAGAAAAGCUUCUAUCGAGUUUAAAGGCGCCCGUACCGUAAACCGACACAGGUGGGUGAGGAGAGCAUCCUAAGGCCAGCGAGAGAACUAUUGUUGAGGAACUCGGCAAAAUGACCCCGUAACUUAGGGAGAAGGGGUGCCUGUCUAUGACAGGCCGCAGAGAAUAGGCCCAAGCGACUGUUUACCAAAAACACAGGUUUCUGCUAAGUCGCAAGACGAUGUAUAGGAGCUGACGCCUGCCCGGUGCUGGAAGGUUAAGGGGAUCUGUUAGAGCAAUCGAAGCAGUGAACUUAAGCCCCAGUAAACGGCGGCCGUAACAAUAACGGUCCUAAGGUAGCGAAAUUCCUUGUCGGGUAAGUUCCGACCCGCACGAGAGGCGUAACGAUUUGGGCACUGUCUCAACAAUAGACUCGGUGAAAUUGUAAUCCCGGUGAAGAUGCCGGGUACCUGCGACAGGACGGAAAGGCCCCAUGGAGCUUUACUGUAGCUUGACGUUGGGUCUUGGUACUACAUGUACAGGACAGGUGGGAGACUAUGAAGCAUGGACGCCAGUCUGUGUGGAGUCAUCCUUGGGAUACCACCCUUGUAGUACUGGGAUCCUAACCAUAGGCCUUGAAUCAGGUCUUGGAACACCGUCAGGUGGGCAGUUUGACUGGGGCGGUCGCCUCCUAAAAAGUAACGGAGGCGCUCAAAGGUUUCCUCAGCACGGUCGGAAAUCGUGCGAAGAGUGUAAAGGCAAAAGGAAGCUUGAUUGCAAGACAUACAGGUCGAGCAAGGACGAAAGUCGGACUUAGUGAUCCGGUGGUACCGCAUGGAAGGGCCAUCGCUCAACGGAUAAAAGCUACCCUGGGGAUAACAGGCUUAUCUCCCCCAAGAGUCCACAUCGACGGGGAGGUUUGGCACCUCGAUGUCGGCUCAUCACAUCCUGGGGCUGUAGUAGGUCCCAAGGGUGGGGCUGUUCGCCCAUUAAAGUGGUACGCGAGCUGGGUUCAGAACGUCGUGAGACAGUUCGGUCCCUAUCCGUCGCAGGCGUAGGAAAUUUGAGAAGACCUGUCCUUAGUACGAGAGGACCGGGAUGGACGUACCUCUGGUGUACCAGUUGUUCUGCCAAGGGCAUGGCUGGGUAGCUAUGUACGGAAUGGAUAAGCGCUGAAAGCAUCUAAGCGCGAAGCCAACUUCAAGAUAAGAUUUCCCACCGUAAGGGUAAGACCCCAGUAAGACUACCUGGUUGAUAGGUCGAAGGUGUAAGUGCAGUAAUGUAUUUAGCUUAUCGAUACUAAUAGGUCGAGGACUUGACCG